rnacentral:rRNA from 1 species
CGGAGGGUGCGAGCGUUAAUCGGAAUUACUGGGCGUAAAGGGUGCGUAGGUGGUUUGUUAAGUUAUCUGUAAAAUCCCUGGGCUUAACCUGGGCAGGUCAGAUAAGACUGAUGAACUCGAGUAUGGGAGAGGGUAGUGGAAUUUCCGGUGUAGCGGUGAAAUGCGUAGAGAUCGGAAGGAACACCAGUGGCGAAGGCGGCUACCUGGCCUAAUACUGACACUGAGGCACGAAAGCGUGGGGAGCAAACAGGAUU